rnacentral:rRNA from 1 species
UACGUAGGCAGCGAGCGUUGUUCGGAAUUACUGGGCGUAAAGAGUGUGUAGGCGGUGCUCCCAGUCUGUUGUGAAAUCUCCCGGCUCAACUGGGAGGGUGGUCGCGAGACGGCAGGGCUUGAGGCUCGGUGAGGGGCGUGGAAUUCCGGGUGGAGCGGUGAAAUGCGUAGAGAUCCGGAGGAACACCAACGGCGUAGGCAGCGCCCUAGACGAGACCUGACGCUCAGGCACGAAAGCGCGGGGAGCGAACAGG